UAUAAGGGAUUUUAACUUUUUGCCUGCACUGUUUGACCAUUCGUCUUAUUUAAAAAUUUUUAGAAUUAUUAUUUAUUUUAUUUGUGACUUACUUUAUUAUCCAAAGUACUUUAAGUAUAACUUUUCGUUUUUAUAUUUGCACAAAUUUUUUUAAAUAAGACGAGUGGUUAAACAGUGCACACAAAAUAUCAAAAUCCCUUAUA
rnacentral:pre_miRNA from 1 species